rnacentral:rRNA from 1 species
UCCAGACUCCUACGGGAGGCAGCAGUGGGGGAUAUUGCACAAUGGGGGGAACCCUGAUGCAGCGACGCCGCGUGGGUGAAGGAGCGUUUCGGCGCGUAAAGCCCUCUCGGCAGGGAAGAAGGAGGACGGUACCUGACUAAGAAGCCCCGGCUAACUACGUGCCAGCAGCCGCGGUAAUACGUAGGGGGCAAGCGUUAUCCGGAUUUACUGGGUGUAAAGGGGGCGCAGACGGCAGCGCAAGCCAGGAGUGAAAGCCCGGGGCCCAACCCCGGGACUGCUCUUGGAACUGCGCGGCUGGAGUGCAGGAGGGGCAGGCGGAAUUCCUGGUGUAGCGGUGAAAUGCGUAGAUAUCAGGAGGAACACCGGUGGCGAAGGCGGCCUGCUGGACUGCGACUGACGUUGAGGCCCGAAAGCGUGGGGAGCAAACAGGAUUAGAUACCCCCGUAGA